UUUAGAUAAUGGUGUGAAUUGCAAUGCCAGAUAUCUGGACUUAAUUUUACUGAAAGGGAGGGAGUCCAAGUGCCCUAGAUAUCCACCUACAUAGGCAGCCAGAGGACUUCCCUCUUUUGAGCUAAAUGCUGCUGCAGCUGCUAGAGCAUAACUAUACUUAUGGUGACAAGAAAAUGCACAGAGAAAUACACAGAGGCUCAGGUGCCAGUGUAUUAACCACAGAGAAUGGGGUUCACUGCCACACAUCUCUGAGAGACCAAAUGAAGAGAGAAUCCAGGCAAAGAAGACAAUAAAAUACACUGUAGUAGUGUUUGUGAAAGCCUUAAAAAAGAGGGUGAAGAGCUUUGAGUUUUGUCUUUAUCUUCCCAGUAUCUCUAUAGUGCCCAGUACAUGACAGGCACUCAGAAAAUUUUUACUGAAUGGAUGAAUAUACUUUAAAAAUCUUUAAUUGCUGAUCUCCUAUUUUACAGAGUUUUCCCUUCAUGAUCAAUUGUGUGAACACAUGAGAAGAUGGUUCUUUCUGGUUAUUGACUGGAGAAUGGAUUGGAAGAUGUGCAGAAAAGAGUUAGCAUAGCCAGCCUGCUAUCUUUUGAAAGUCUGUCUUAUAAGAUUGGUCCUUGGCUCAUGUUUGCAAACUCAGAUUUUCGAAGGAUCCCCACCAUCCAAAUGGCACUUUUCCAACAGGAUUGACUAUGAAACCAGCUGUCCUGUUAUAAGAUACUGGUGAAGAGGAACACAGUGACUUAAAGCAUCAGACAUAAGAAAAGCAUUCUUUUUUAUUACAUAAAAAAAGACCAUAAAGAAUAGAAAAUACCAAAGAGCAGAGAAAUAGACAUUAAGUUCUUUGAUAGGAACAUCUAUUAGUAACUGGUAACCAAUAAAAAUGAAAUUCUGGAAUGCUAUUGCAUACUUUUGAAAGACAGGGAUCAGAUUUAUGUGAAAUCUCUUACAAAACAGCAAUAACAAUGGGGUCAUUACUGCAUUUCCAAUAACCCACUGCAGGACUGGAUGAGAAAGUGGGGUCAGAGCUGGAAAGAGAAUUCAGCAUGCAGAAGGGGGAGUUAGUAUAGACAGAAACUGCAUUUGUUCCUGCCACAGGGAAUUCUCUGAUUAUUAUGUAUCAGAUGUUAGUAGAAAAAGUGAUUUGAAAAAAAAAAAAAAAAGUGAUUUGCUCUCCG